rnacentral:lncRNA from 1 species
UUUUUGUUUGUUUGUUUGUUUGUUUUUUGCUUUUUAGGGCCACACUUGUGGAGGUUCCCAGGCUAGGGGUCUAAUCGGAGCUGUUGCCACUGGCCUACACCACAACCGCAGCAACACCAGAUCCGAGCCAUGUCUGUGACCUACACCACAGCUCACUGCAAAGCCGGAUCCUUAACCCACUGAGCAAGGCCAGGGAUUGAACCUGCAUCCUUAUGGAUGCUAGUCAGAUUCGUUAACUGCUGAGCCGUGAUGGGAACUCCGAAGUUCAGCUUUUCAAUGUCUCGGCGCAGAAGGAAUUCAGGGAGAGGCACAGUGAUAGGUAAGAAGUAGAUUUAUUGAGAUGCAGACUCCAAAGGCAGAGUAUGUUCCAUCUCAAAAAGCAAGAGAGAGGCCCCCAAAUAUGAGGUUGUUAGUUUUAAUGGACUGGGUAAUUUCAUAGGUUAAAGAGUGGGAGGAUUAUUCCAACUGUUUUGGUGAAAGGGUGGGGAUUUUCAGGAAUUGGGCCAGCUGCCGCCCACUCUUUGGCCUUUUAUGGUCAGCCUCAGAACUGUCACAGUGCCACCGGGGUUGUGUCACUCAGCUAAUGUGUUACAAUGAGUGUGUAAUGAGACUCAAGGUCCACUGGAGGUCAGAUCUUCCGCCAUCUUGGACCUAGUUGGUUCUACUCAGUUUUUGUUGCAUUCUCAAUGGCUAUUUAAUUCUUUAAGGGUCAUGUCCUGCCCCCUUUCCUCCUGCUUUACUUUUACAGAGUUCCCCCUUCUCCCAGGGCAAUUCUGGGAGGUUAGACUCACCUCUUGAAAAAGGGGAGAACUCAGUUCCCCUGUGCUCAUGAUUCUCCAGGAGGGAUCUGCCCUCUGUACACACAGUGUAUCUACAUCAUUGUUGAGGAGGGUAGUGACUGCUGGGACAAUUCAGGCUGCAUUUCUGCUGGGAGAGUCUGAAAUCCUACUGCUGCCAACAUAAAGUUCACUGUAAUGUUUAAUGGUAAAUAUUACGAGCUGCUGACUUUCAAAUCUAUAUCAAGUCCUGGUCCUUGCACUGAACUUCAGACUCAGAAAUCUGAGUGCCUGAUGGACUUCUCUUCCUGGAUGUCCCUCAAGCUUGGUAGGUCUAAAAUCACUCAUCAUCUCUCUUAUCAUGUACAUCAGUGACUGGAAAUCUACCAGUAACUGAACGAGUCACCCAUAAGUAUUUGAGUCCACUCUCUUCUUCAUUCUUAUUGCCAGGAUCCUGGCCCAAGGCCUUGGCACCUCUUGCCUGUACAACCACAUCAGCCCCUUCACCAGCCUCCCUGCUCUGGGCCUGUCCUUCUCUGGGUUCUAGGGGAUCUGCCUGGAAUGAAAAUCUGAUCUUGUCCCAUCCCAUCUGAAACUCUUCAACUUCCCAAACCAGGUUAUCAAACUUUAGUUUGCAUCUGAAUCACCUUGAGAACUUCUUAAAAAUGCAGCUUUAAGCUGCAUUCCAGACCUGAUAAAUCCAGGAUCUGUUGAAUGAAGCAAAGGGAUGCACAUUCUUCACAUUCUUAAUUCUCCAGGGAUUCAGGUAGCGUUGAGGUAGAUCCACCCUAAGACACAGUUUGAUUCCUGGGAGAAUCCAAGCUCCUAAUUCACUUUAACAUAUGUCCCCUUCCUUCUUAGGUGUGGUCAUGGCCACCUCCUUGCCUCACCCACCACCUCCCUCCCCACCCACCCUGCUGUGCAAUGUAUUUCUCGUCUUUGACCUUGGCUACGUCUUGCCUGUUUCCAGAACCAGAUUCAAGUAGUUACUAGUUAGGAAAGUGAGAGGAUGUAGACUCAAAGGAAAAGCAGUCAAGCAAGAAAAGCAGUGAUAGUUCAGAGUCCCAGUUCCUCCUCAAGAGAUACACGUAACAAUCUGACAUGUAUCUUUGAGUUGUUCUGCAGAAAGUAAGAUAUCUCCCAUCACCACUCAGGUGGAAGAUAGUGACUACGUGCUGACCACAUACACAUAGACCAGACUGAUCAGAUACCAAAGGUUGAUGAUCCAGAUUUACAAAUAUCACUCUCACAACCAAUCAGAACAAAGUCGUCCCUGAAAGCCAUAAGGGAGUUUGCAUCUUUUGAGCACCAGCUGCUUGUUCUCCUUGCUUGGCACCUGCAUGAAUGCCAUAGUUUCCUUCACCACAGCCUAGUGUCAGAAAAUUGGCUUUGCUCUGCAGCAGGCAAGCAGACCCAAGGUCAGCUCAGGACCAGUAAAUCUUACUCAACUCGGCAACUUCCUACUCAUAUCUUCAGCAUUACCCGGCUUCUAAGAAAUGCAGAAUUGCAGGCUCCACCCCAGUCCUACUGGAUCAGACCCCAGGUGAUUUCUAUGCACUUCACAGAAGAAGCGCAACUCUAUAAUUUGGCUCCAGAAGCACAUCUUCCAGGAAAUCUUCCUAGAUUGAAACACCUCCAUCACUCUUCCUCCAAACUAACUUGGGCAUCACCAUGAUGCACUUGUAACAGUUCACAAGUUAGGAUUCCCACAGUCCAGCUGCAGAGAACUUUCAUAUUUAUAAGUACUGCUCAAAGAGAAAUUUCAAUUCCCAAGUGUCCCUAAAGUCAAGGGGACACCACUGUCUUUCUCAUGGUCCCAUUCCCUGUCUUGGUACUUCUCUCCCCUUUCUUCUCUGCCGGUGCUCAGCCCCACAGGAGGUGGUCCCAACCCAUCUGGGUCCCCUGCCUCACCUGGCCUCUCAGGUGAUGCAGUUCUUCUCCUGAGAACCUGGCCAUGUGCCAUGGUGUCCUCUGUCCUCAAAGAGUGGGCAGGCAGAAGUGUGCCCUCGGUGGGUCAGAGCCCCAGGCUGCAGUCGAAAUGCUUCUUGACGUGUCUGCCUCUCUAACUUUGAAUGGCAAGGGUCCUGCUCAUUGCUGACCACCUGACAUUCUUCACAGUGUGGGGAGAGAGACAGCAUGGGAGCCAGAGUACUGUUCCCAUAAAAGGCUCUGCCACUCACUGCCAUGUCACCUUGGGCAUGUCCCUGAGCCUUUCUUAACCUCUAGUUCUUGGUCUGUAAAAGACAAAUAGUAAUACUUUCCUAGUCUACCUCACUCCUUCCAUGAGACGUUUCUGCUGAGCCAUGACUAGGCCCAGAUAUAGUGUGUGUGUACAUACACACAUAAAUGCGGGCGCGCGCACACACACACACACACACACACACACACACACACACACACACGCUCCCUCUCGGUGCCAUUCAUUGGCCCAAACCAAACAGAGCAAGGCCUCAGUCUUUCCAUCACCCUUCCAUGUUGCCAUAAUGGUGCCCACGAACGUUCAGGCUGACGCUCUCAAGAGCACUGACAAUGCCAAAAAGAAAGGCAAACACCAGGUUCUUUUAAGGUCAUACUUCACAGUCAUUGCCCGGUUUCUAACUGUGAUGAUGAAGCAUGGUUAGUUACAUUGGCAAAUUUGGUCACAGAACUGGAACAUUUUUAUGAGCCUCAAAGGCAUGUUAAACAAGUGUAGAACAAGUGAAACCAGGCAGGACCCUGUGGGGCCCCUCUGGAUACAACAGCCUUCCCAUGGCCCCCAUUUCUUGUUUGUUGGAAAAAGGCUUCAGCCUCCUAAACCUUCCCUGAGUUCCAAAGGGCAGAUUCAAACAGUUGCUAACUGGGGAAGGGAGGGAUGCAGAAACAAAGAGUGAGCAGCCAAGAAACAAUAGUGCAAUAAAAUGGAGUCCCAGUUCCUCUUCAAGGAAUAUAUGGAAAAAUAUAUCUCUGAGUUUUUUCUACAGGAACCUUGGUGCCCACCCAGGUGGAGGAUGCAACUUCAAGCUGAGGGCGAGUCUAGGAGCACUGCCCUGUUACCCACCACCAACUAAUCAGAGGGAGGUCACACACCCCGCAGCCCCACAUAGAAACAAACGCAAGUGUGUACCUAUAAAAACUUCUCCCUGAAAAUCGUUGGGGAGUUCGCGGCUUUUGAGCAGGAGUCACCUGUUUUUCUUGCCUGACCCUGCAAUAAACCUUUCUCUGCUCCAAACUCCAACUGUUUCUUUGGCCUCACUGUGUGUCAGGCAUGCAAACUUGCAUUGGGUAACAGCAGGACCAUCUGCCACUAUCCCUUUGGUUUCAUUGUAGCAAUGACUUCAGUUGGCAUUAUAGAUGAAAGUACACAGGAGGGAGAAUCCUGGGGUUCUUUUGUGAGGGAUGUAACAUGCAAAUACAAAUAAAAUGUCCCGAUGGACAAGUGAGAUGGAGAAACAGAGAGGGGGGCCAAGUCCAGGUCCGCCGUCUGCCAGCGGCUAAAACAGCCAGAGCAAGAAGGGUAAUGCAGCUUUGCAGCCAGAGCUCUGAACGAGGGGGGACUCAGUCCCUCGGCAUCCACAUGAGUGUCUGCUCUGGCGAUUGUCCUUCUGGGGCAGGCUGGGCCACGAGGAGUGUCCUGGAGCCAUCAGCACGCACAGAGGGAUGUUGCCCAGUGGAACCAGAGCUUCCUCUAGCAGAAGAGCAAGGGUCUGCAGGCCCUGGAGCUUGGGGGCUCGCCUAGGACAUCUAUGUGUCUAUCUCAUCUUUUUCCUGCUGGGCGCAGUGCUGGAAGGUGCUGGGAGCUUGUACGGGGCCAGAGAACACAGACUUUACUUCUGGAAUGGUUAGAACUCCUAGGCGGAAGGGAGAUCCUCUCCUCCUCCCCACCCUCAUUUUAUUAACCAGGAUUUAUGACACACUUCCUAUGUGCCAGGCAGGAGAGAAGGCACUUGCCUUAUGUAGUCUUCUCCCAGAGGUGAGAAUGAGACUGAGGAGCUCA